UACGUAGGGUGCAAGCGUUGUCCGGAAUUAUUGGGCGUAAAGAGCUCGUAGGCGGUUUGUCGCGUCUGCUGUGAAAACUCGGGGCUUAACUCCGGGCUUGCAGUGGGUACGGGCAGACUAGAGUGCGGUAGGGGAGACUGGAAUUCCUGGUGUAGCGGUGAAAUGCGCAGAUAUCAGGAGGAACACCAAUGGCGAAGGCAGCUCGCUGGGACGUGACUGACGCUGAGACGCGAAAGCGUGGGGAGCAAACAGG
rnacentral:rRNA from 1 species